CGUAGGGUGCAAGCGUUAAUCGGAAUUACUGGGCGUAAAGCAUGCGCAGGCGGUUAUGUAAGACAGUUGUGAAAUCCCCGGGCUCAACCUGGGAACUGCAUCUGUGACUGCAUAGCUAGAGUACGGUAGAGGGGGAUGGAAUUCCGCGUGUAGCAGUGAAAUGCGUAGAUAUGCGGAGGAACACCGAUGGCGAAGGCAAUCCCCUGGACCUGUACUGACGCUCAUGCACGAAAGCGUGGGGAGCAAACAGGAUUAGAUACCCUGGUAGUCCACGCCCUAAACGAUGUCAACUGGUUGUUGGGUCUUCACUGACUCAGUAACGAAGCUAACGCGUGAAGUUGACCGCCUGGGGAGUACGGCCGCAAGGUUG
rnacentral:rRNA from 1 species